AAGUCGUAACAAGGUCUCCGUUGGUGAACCAGCGGAGGGAUCAUUACCGAGUUUGCUUUUCUAGCUCGAAACCCACUGUGAACAUACCUCUCAUAUCGUUGCUUCGGCGGCAGUUCCCCCUACCCGUCCUCUUCUGGAGGGGUUUUCAAGGGUCCAGCCGUCGGAGGGACGCAACCAAAACUCUUUCUUACUUUCAAGUAUUAUCUGAGUCGAUAUUUUAAUUAUCAAAACUUUCAGCAACGGAUCUCUUGGUUCUG
rnacentral:misc_RNA from 1 species